rnacentral:rRNA from 1 species
UACGGGGGGGGCAAGCGUUGUUCGGAAUUACUGGGCGUAAAGGGCUCGUAGGCGGCCAACUAAGUCGGAUGUGAAAACUCUGGGCUCAACCCAGAGCCUGCAUCCGAAACUGGAGUGCUAGAGUUCUGGAGGGGGUAGCGGAAUUCCUGGUGUAGCGGUGAAAUGCGUAGAUAUCAGGAAGAACACCCGUAGCGAAGGCGGCGCUCUGGGCCGGUACUGACGCUGAGGAGCGAAAGCGUGGGGAGCAAACAGG